GCCGCCAUGGCUUAGUUGGUAAAGCGUCUGCCUAGUAAGCAGAAGAUCAUGGGUUCGAGUCCCAUUGGUGGCU